rnacentral:rRNA from 1 species
CUCCAACUAGCUAGCCAAACCAUUAAAAACCAACAAACAAUAUUAAUACCCCCUCAUUCACUAUAUAAAAACUUAACUAAACCAUUCUUUCCCUCAGUACGGGAGACAGAACAGGACCUUUGAGCAAUAGAAAAAGUACCGCAAGGGAAAGCUGAAAAAGGGAUGAAACAGACCAGUUAAGACUAUAAAAGCAGAGAUAAACCCUCGUACCUUUUGCAUCAUGAUUUAGCCAGAAACUUUAAGCAAAGAGCACUUUAGUUUAAAACCCCGAAACUAAGCGAGCUACUCCAAGACAGCCUUUAUAUUAGGGCACACCCGUCUCUGUGGCAAAAGAGUGGGAAGAGCUUUGAGUAGAAGUGACAGACCUAACGAGCUUAGUGAUAGCUGGUUGCCUGAGAACUGAAUAUUAGUUCAGCCUCCCGAGUUCUUCCAUCAACUAUAUUAUAUUUUACCUAUAGAUUCAAAGAAAUCGAGAGAGUUAGUCAAAGGGGGUUCAGCCCCUUUGAAAUAGAUACAACUUUUCCAGGAGAGUAUGGAUCAUAUUUAUUUAAGGAAACAUGUUUUAGUGGGCCUAAAAGCAGCCACCCUUUAAGAAAGCGUUAAAGCUCAAACACUCAACCAUCCACUUAUCCCGAUAACCUAAAUCCAAACCCCCUAACACUACCAGGCCAUUCUAUACAAAUAGAAGCGACCAUGCUAAAAUGAGUAAUAAGAAAGCACUGACCUUUCUCACUUGCACAAGUGUACAUCGGAACGGACCUACCACCGAAUAUUAACGGCCUCAAAAAAAGAGAGUACUGAAAAACUAUAUACACCCCAGGAAAAACCUUCAAACAAAGCCCGUUAACUCCACACAGAAGUGCAUAAAAUGAAAGACUAAAAGACCAAGAAGGAACUCGGCAACCAACCAAGCCUCGCCUGUUUAUCAAAAACAUCGCCUCUUGUAUACCAAAAAUAAGAGGUACUGCCUGCCCAGUGACAAUUGUUCAACGGCCGCGGUAUCCUGACCGUGCAAAGGUAGCGCAAUCACUUGUCUUUUAAAUGAAGACCCGUAUGAAUGGCAAAACGAGGGCUUAACUGUCUCCUUAGUCCAGUCAAUGAAAUUAACCUUCCCGUGCAGAGGCGGAAAUACCACCAUAAGACGAGAAGACCCUAUGGAGCUUUAGACACCAGACCGACCAUGUUAAACACCCUAACAUAAAACCAUGAACUCAGUGGCCACCGUCUUUAUGUCUUCGGUUGGGGCGACCAUGGGGAAAAAUAUAACCCCCACGUGGACUGAGAGCAAAAACCUACCCUCCACUCCCAAAACCAAGAGAAACCACUCAAACAAGCAGAACCUCUGACCUUAAAUGAUCCGGUAAUACCGAUCAACGAAACAAGUUACCCUAGGGAUAACAGCGCAAUCCUCUUUAAGAGCCCAUAUCGACAAGAGGGUUUACGACCUCGAUGUUGGAUCAGGACAUCCUAAUGGUGCAGCAGCUAUUAAGGGUUCGUUUGUUCAACGAUUAAAGUCCUACGUGAUCUGAGUUCAGACCGGAGCAAUCCAGGUCAGUUUCUAUCUAUGACAUGAUCUUUUCUAGUACGAAAGGACCGAAAAGAAGAGGCCCAUGCCCACAGUACGCCUCACCCCUCCCUAAUGAAAAAAUCUUAAAUAGACAAUCGGGCAUACUCCCCACUCCAAAGAUAAUGGAAC